rnacentral:rRNA from 1 species
CCCUUAGAUGUUCUGGGCCGCACGCGCGCUACACUGAAUGGAUCAACGUGUUUUCCCUUCCCGAGAGGGACGGGUAACCCGCUGAACCCCAUUCGUGGUAGGGAUCGGAGCUUGCAAUUGUUCUCCGUGAACCAGGAAUUCCCAGUAAGCGCAAGUCAUAAGCUUGCGUUGAUUACGUCCCUGCCCUUUGUACACACCGCCCGUCGCUACUACCGAUUGAAUGGUCCGGUGAGUUGUCAGGAUGAGACGCUUUUGGCGGGCAACUGCGAGAAGCGACUCAGAAUCUCAGCAAACCUUAUCAUUUAGAGGAAGGAGAAGUCGUAACA